rnacentral:rRNA from 1 species
UACGUAGGGUGCGAGCGUUGUCCGGAAUCACUGGGCGUAAAGGGCGCGUAGGUGGCGCGGGCAGUCAACGGUGAAAGUUCGGGGCUCAACCCUGAAUCGGCCGUCGAUACUCCCGGGCUUGAGCCCUGUAGAGGCAGAUGGAAUUCCGGGUGUAGCGGUGGAAUGCGUAGAGAUCCGGAAGAACACCGGUGGCGAAGGCGGUCUGCUGGGCAGUAGCUGACACUGAGGCGCGAAAGCGUGGGGAGCAAACAGG